AUGUCGUUCCAUGGCGGCAGCAGCUCCGGCACCGGCGGCGAUGACGGGCCCAGCGCAUGGCCGUCGAGCCUGAGCAGGACGGAGACGGAGGAGCUUUACCGGUUUGAGCUCCUCGCGGCGGCGGCGAUUCCGCCAGUGGUCCCGCAGGCGGAGGCGGAGGCGUUGGAGUUGUCGGACGACGACGUCAUCGACUAG
rnacentral:rRNA from 1 species